UGCCAACAUGAAGUAUUUCCUCCCUGUGUUUAACAACCAGAUGUCCUCCAGCCCAUGCGUCCUCUCCACUCUGAGGUUGCGGGGCACUUCCCGCUCCCUCUACUCAGUGAGCUUCGGAAGUUGCAAACUGCCGAAAUCUGCCCCCACCCCAGAAAGUGCACGCGGACUCAGGAAACUCCCAUCUGCAGCGCCAGAGACCCGACCAUCAGCUCCACGACUGGAGGACCCCACAUGCCACCGCACAAUGCCAACCCGAACGCACAGCGAGACGCGGGAAGGGGGAGGAGGGGGCGAUACUCACCGUUCUGUUCCUUGUCGCUGGAGAGCUGCAACUUGCUGCUCAGGUUGGACUCAGCCCGAGUCCCCGUUCUUUGGCCGGCCAGGGCAGAUGUCAGCAGGAGGAGGCCGAGGAGGAGCAUUUGGCUGACUGGGGCGAGGGCUCACUCGGGGGAUCCCCACUCCCAAAGCGCUUUGUCAGGACUCGUGGCCAGAGUUCUGCACUGAAGGAGGGAAGUUGAACUCAAGAUGCUUCCAGAAUGGCUCUGUCUGAAGGAGAAUGAAUAAAUCAAAAGUAAAGAUAAAGUCAGAGUUGUAACAUGAAUUGAAGCCAUGCACCACUGUAUCCACAUGAACCCUGUUUGGAGAGGAACUGGGGUUGGAGGGUACCACUGAGCAGAAGAAAGAGUCCCUGUCCUUUGCA
rnacentral:lncRNA from 1 species